GCGCCUAUAGCUCAAUUGGAUAGAGUGGCUGGCUUCGAACCAGUAGGCUGGGGGUUCGAAUCCCUCUAGGCGCG
rnacentral:tRNA from 1 species